UUAUUGGUGGACUAGCGGCUAGUGUGCGGCGCUCUCACCGCCCUGGCCCAGGUUCGAUUCACGGUCAGUAAA